rnacentral:rRNA from 1 species
CUGGGCAUUAACUGACGCUGAGGAGCGAAAGCAUGGGGAGCGAACAGGAUUAGAUACCCUGGUAGUCCAUGCCGUAAACGUUGGGCACUAGGUGUGGGGGACAUUCCACGUUUUCCGCGCCGUAGCUAACGCAUUAAGUGCCCCGCCUGGGGAGUACGGCCGCAAGGCUAAAACUCAAAGGAAUUGACGGGGGCCCGCACAAGCGGCGGAGCAUGCGGAUUAAUUCGAUGCAACGCGAAGAACCUUACCAAGGCUUGACAUGAACCGGAAACACCUGGAGACAGGUGCCCCGCUUGCGGUCGGUUUACAGGUGGUGCAUGGUUGUCGUCAGCUCGUGUCGUGAGAUGUUGGGUUAAGUCCCGCAACGAGCGCAACCCUCGUUCUAUGUUGCCAGCACGUGAUGGUGGGGACUCAUAGGAGACUGCCGGGGUCAACUCGGAGGAAGGUGGGGACGACGUCAAAUCAUCAUGCCCCUUAUGUCUUGGGCUUCACGCAUGCUACAAUGGCCGGUACAAAGGGUUGCGAUACUGUGAGGUGGAGCUAAUCCCAAAAAGCCGGUCUCAGUUCGGAUUGGGGUCUGCAACUCGACCCCAUGAAGUCGGAGUCGCUAGUAAUCGCAGAUCAGCAACGCUGCGGUGAAUACGUUCCCGGGCCUUGUACACACCGCCCGUCAAGUCACGAAAGUUGGUAACACCCGAAGCCGGUGGUCCUAACCCCUUG